CUGUGUCAGUUAUUUGGAAGGGAGAGACUCCAUGAUGUCCCAAGCACCCAUCUCUAACCAAUGAGCUGAAGUUCCCGCCAUUGGCCCUCCUCUUGGAGAACAGACUGAUCAAUCCCCCAGUUUUUUAGAGUUCAGUGCAGAUACCUUCCAUAGAUGAUAGUACUUCAUUGACUGCCAAAGAAGAUGCCAGCAUACCCAGAUCCACAUUAGAAUCUGUCAUUGCCCAGGCUGGAUUGCAGUGGUG